AACAAACGCUGGCGGCGCGUUUUAAGCAUGCAAGUCGGACGGCAAGAGCUGUAGCAAUAUGGCUCCUAGAGUGGCGAACGGGUGAGUAACACGUAGGUGAUCUGCCCUUGGAUGGGGGAUAGUCCGUGGAAACACGGGGUAAUACCGCAUGAGGCCUUGUGGGUAGAGCCAUGAGGUGAAAGGUGCAAUUGCACCGUCUGGGGAUGAGCCUGCGGUCCAUUAGGUAGUUGGCGGGGUAAGGGCCCACCAAGCCUACGAUGGAUAGCCGGCCUGGGAGGGUGGACGGACACACUGGAACUGAGACACGGUCCAGACUCCUACGGGAGGAAGCAGCUAAGAAUCUUCCGCAAUGGGGGAAACCCUGACGGAGCGACGCCGCGUGGACGAUGGAGGCCGUAAGGUUGUAAAGUCCUUUUCCUGGUGAAGAAUGACCGUGGGAGUGGAAAGCCCAUGGGAUGACGUUAGCCAGGGAAUAAGCCCCGGCCAAUUACGUGCCAGCCGCCGCGGUAAUAC
rnacentral:rRNA from 1 species